GACAGAGGCCUCAAGCGUUGGGCGGAAUCACUGGGCUUAAAGCGUGCGCAGGCGGUUCGUGAUGUCUGGUGUGAAAGCCCCGGGCUUAACCUGGGAAUUGCAUUGGAAACUAGCGGGCUGGAGUGGUGGCAGAGGGGGGUGGAAUUCCACGGUGUAGCAGUGAAAUGCGUAGAGAUGUGGAGGAACACCGAUGGCGAAGGCAGCCCCCUGGGCUAACACGUGACGCCUCAUGCACGAAAGCGUGGGGAGCAAACAGG
rnacentral:rRNA from 1 species